GAUAGAAUCUACCAUGAAACUUUCUAAAAAAGGCUUAAGAUGGUUAUCUAGAUAAGAUCUAUCAUAGAAUCUUCUAAAAGAAAUUUAAGUGGGAUCGAUCAUCUAAGAAUAUUUUAAAAAGUCCAAGGUAGUAGCACAAAGUAUCAAUAAGACUGAUUUGGAUCUUUUAGGCAUUAGGUCAAGUAAGGCUUUGGACCUUUUUUCUUAGUAAAAUUUGGUUUUGUACCUUCAUGUUUAGUACCGUUUUGUUCUAUUUCUAUUUGUAGAGUUUUGUCUUUUAUGUCUUAUUUUAUUUUAUUCUGCUUAGUUUUAUUUUGGUCCAUUUUGUCUUAUUUUGUGAUGAAGUUUUAUGUGGCUAUAGAUUAAAAGAGUCUUAGACUUUCAAGAUAUACUAGUAUUCUUUCAUUGAUAUCAAAGCGAGUAUUAGACUAUUCUUUG
rnacentral:lncRNA from 1 species